UACAGAGGGUGCAAGCGUUAAUCGGAAUUACUGGGCGUAAAGGGUGCGUAGGCGGUUGUUUAAGUCUGUCGUGAAAUCCCCGGGCUCAACCUGGGAAUGGCGAUGGAUACUGGGCAGCUAGAGUGUGUCAGAGGAUGGUGGAAUUCCCGGUGUAGCGGUGAAAUGCGUAGAUAUCGGAAGGAACACCUGUGGCGAAAGCGGCUCACUGGACCACAACUGACGCUGAGGCACGAAAGCUAGGGGAGCAAACAGG
rnacentral:rRNA from 1 species